CAGAGGGUAAUGCACAUUUGCUGCCUGUGUACUACACAUCAAUGCCAGGAGCUUUAGCAGGAAUAGAGGCCCACGGGCAAAAAGUUCCCACCAGCAUGAAGCAAUAAUUUAUUUUAACAAGGUGGAAAAAGUGCUGGCUCGCACUCAGAAAGAAGGGAGUGGCAUGGCACAUUCAGUCCGCAUGCCACAAGCCUCAGCCAAGAGUCUUUCAUGCCUGGUUAUAACUCUGUCUAAUGAAGGUCCUUUCUCCAUCACCAGAAGCUUUGCACAGCUCAGCCUACCCAGGAGCCACAGCCAAUGAGUGACAGUCACCUGCCUGUGGUUCAGAAAAGGUAGCACCAAGUCUGCGCUUGCAGGCAAACCAGUGGAGAAAAAGGAGCAGUCACUGCACGUCCAUCUUCUCCUGCUUGAGUGAUGCAACAAAAUCCUUGUACUCCUCAGGAUAGAAAUUCUUGUACACGCUGAUCUUCCUCUUGAUCUGUUUGGGAGUGUCCUGGUAGUAGUUCUUUUCAUCACGAGCCAUUUCCUUGUAGUUCUCCCCAUGGUUCUGUAUCAUGUACCGCACAUAGUCAAUGAGGUCUCUUGAGAGCGUAUUUGACUUCUUCUCAGGAAGACUGGCCUCGAAUUCCAUCUCGCUCAGGACGUAGGGCUUCCGCACCAGCAUCUUCUCCUGCUCCUGCCCGUCACUCUCUGUCUCCAUCCUCUGCAGCCGUCUCUUGGCGAUGGGGACGGCUUUGUUGGGGUCCCCGGCCAGGCCCAUCUCGGCCAGGUUCUGCGCCACCGACUUGGUCGCGUCCCACGCAUGGCGGAUGUGUGAGCACUCGAUGCGCGGCGCGGCCUUGCGCCUGGCGCUGCGGUACAGCCGCUUGCGGUUGAGGCCGUAAGCGAACUUCUGCCGCCGGUUCUUCCCCUUGGCCUUCGGCAUGGCUGCCCCACGCUGCCGCCGAGCCGCG
rnacentral:lncRNA from 1 species